AGCAGCCGCGGUAAUUCCAGCUCCAAUAGCGUAUAUUAAAGUUGUUGCAGUUAAAAAGCUCGUAGUUGAAUUUCGAGAUCAAAUUGUUGGUCGUGCCUCGGUACGUACUGGCAUUAUUGAUUUCUCCUUUCUGAAGAACCAUGAUGUCAUUAAUUUGGUGUCUUGGGAAUCAGGACCGUUACUUUGAAAAAUUAGAGUGUUUAAAGCAGGCUCACGCUUGAAUACAUUAGCAUGGAAUAAUGAAAUAGGACGUUUGAUUCUAUUUUGUUGGUUUCUAGGAUCGACGUAAUGAUUAAUAGGGAUAGUUGGGGGCAUUAGUAUUCAAUUGUCAGAGGUGAAAUUCUUGGAUUUAUUGAAGACUAACUACUGCGAAAGCAUUUGCCAAGGAUGUUUUCAUUAAUCAAGAACGAAAGUUAGGGGAUCGAAGACGAUCAGAUACCGUCGUAGUCU
rnacentral:rRNA from 1 species